UACGGAGGGAGCUAGCGUUAUUCGGAAUUACUGGGCGUAAAGCGCACGUAGGCGGCUUUGUAAGUUAGAGGUGAACGCCUGGAGCUCAACUCCAGAAUUGCCUUUAAGACUGCAUCGCUUGAAUCCAGGAGAGGUGAGUGGAAUUCCGAGUGUAGAGGUGAAAUUCGUAGAUAUUCGGAAGAACACCAGUGGCGAAGGCGGCUCACUGGACUGGUAUUGACGCUGAGGUGCGAAAGCGUGGGGAGCAAACAGG
rnacentral:rRNA from 1 species